rnacentral:rRNA from 1 species
GACGAACGCUGGCGGCGUGCCUAAUACAUGCAAGUCGAGCGCAGGAAAUCGACGGAACCCUUCGGGGGGAAGUCGACGGAAUGAGCGGCGGACGGGUGAGUAACACGUAAAGAACCUGCCCUCAGGUCUGGGAUAACCACGAGAAAUCGGGGCUAAUACCGGAUGGGUCAUCGGACCGCAUGGUCCGAGGAUGAAAGGCGCUUCGGCGUCGCCUGGGGAUGGCCUUGCGGUGCAUUAGCUAGUUGGUGGGGUAAUGGCCCACCAAGGCGACGAUGCAUAGCCGACCUGAGAGGGUGAGCGGCCACACUGGGACUGAGACACGGCCCAGACUCCUACGGGAGGCAGCAGUAGGGAAUCUUCCACAAUGGACGAAAGUCUGAUGGAGCAACGCCGCGUGAACGAUGAAGGCCUUCGGGUCGUAAAGUUCUGUUGUAAGGGAAGAACAAGUGCCGCAGGCAAUGGCGGCACCUUGACGGUACCUUGCGAGAAAGCCACGGCUAACUACGUGCCAGCCGCCGCAGUAA